rnacentral:misc_RNA from 1 species
AAAGUCGUAACAAGGUAACCGUAGGUGAACCUGCGGUUGGAUCAUUACAAAAUGUGUCUGCAGCUCUUACCGCCUCGCUUUCUUUAGUGGGUGCUGGUUUGACUGCUACCAACCUUUGUGCACUAAAAAUUGUAUUUGGGAGGCUUUUUGCCCCCAACCUUAUAAACCAUUCCUUUUAUUUUUUGUCUGACUUUUGUAUUCUAACGAAUCAAAUACAACUUUUAACAACGGAUCUCUUGGCUCUC